rnacentral:lncRNA from 1 species
UCAAAUUUAGGCCUUCUAUAGAUAAAGUCUUCCUCUUGGACAUUCUGCCGUCUCAACAAAAAUUUCUCUCACCUUAAGUUCUGAUUCAGUUCAGUUUACCUGUGAAAAAAAAUCUGGAAACGUUACGUAGUUACUCAGAAUCGAAGCCUCACCUUCAACGACCUCAUUAACAAUUCUUCUCCACUCCUCACACCAUCUAUCACUAAAUGCAUCCUCCUUUACUUCGUUUCUCAGAAUCUUUGACUAUUAAAAGGUAAGUCCUAUCCCGUCAAUUUCAUCAGUUCUGUUCUCAAUCAUAAGCUUUCAAAAAUCCCAGUGAUAACAAACAUUUGUGCAUGUAUCGAAUAUCAAAAAUCUUAUUCCAAAAUUUUUGUUUAUGGGAAAUGAUUUAGAAUUCGAUUUUGUUUGUUGAAUUUGUUUCAGUUUAUUCUUUUUUAAUUUUAAUUCUAAAGAUGAGAAGUUUUACUUCAGAAGCUUUCGUUUAUGGGCAAUGAUUGGAUUUUGAUUUAGUUUGUUGAUUCGGAGUCAAUUUGUUCAUGUAUUGAUUAUCUAAAAUUUUAAUUCAAAAUCUUUCGUUUAUGAUUUGAUUUAAGUUUGAAGGGUUAAUGAUUUGAUUUCUUAUGAUAUUGUUCUCAGAUUGACAGAGGAUGUAACACCCCCGAACCGUCCUACGCAUAGGUCAACCCACCGACCAACAAUCAAACAAGAACAUGACCGACGGACGACCCACACCAAGGGUUGGAGAUGAAAGGCCAACCGGUCAGCCAACAAUCAAACAAGAACAUGACUGACCGUCCAACCCAACACCAUGGUCCGGAAGCACUACGUGACGGGUUAGGGACGAUCCGGGAAGAGUCACAAAAUUUACUCCACGACCUCGACCAGUUUGUCCACUAACACGUCCCGCUGCGUCAAGGCACAAGGCUUUGCAACCUGUACCUAGAGUUAGCGUUUUCCGUUAGAUCGAGGCCUAAGGCUUUUCAACCCAUACCACGACCUAACGUUGUGUUAGACCGGACUAGUCAAAUAUCAGAGUACUCAUGAAGCGCAUAUAAAACAAUUACUUUUAUUGAUUUAAGAAAUAUUCAUACAUUGAAUAAUUCAAGACUGGGCCCGGCCUAGUGCCAAAUCGAGUCAACAUAACACAAUUCACAAUACCGUUUACAAAAGGCAUGAAAAUCUACACCGGCGAUCCUAACGUCCAGCACCAAGCUAUCCAAUCAUCCUUACCUAAAGCGACCUGCAAAAAGGACAACGGAGUUCGAUGAGUAAUCUAGUAUUACUCAGUGAGCUGGCGGCCUCUACCCGCAACCCAGACUCUAACCCAGAC